UACGGAGGGUGCAAGCGUUAUCCGGAUUCACUGGGCGUAAAGGGUGCGUAGGUGGUCGGGUAAGUCUGAUGUGAAAUCCCCGGGCUUAACCUGGGAAUGGCAUUUGGGACUGCAAGGCUCGAGUGCGGCAGAGGAGACUGGAAUUCCUGGUGUAGCAGUGAAAUGCGUAGAUAUCGAGAGGAACACCAGUGGCGAAGGCGAGUCCCUGGACAGCGACUGACACUGAGGCACGAAAGCUAGGGGAGCAAACAGG
rnacentral:rRNA from 1 species